GUUUUUUUUUCUUUGGAUUCCUUUUGAAAUUUCAUCAUAGGAAAUUUUAAGCGAUUUGAGCUAGGACCUACGGUUUCCGAGCUACAAGGGGCCAAAAGGGGCUAAAACUGCCUUCUCUUUUUUGUUCGUCAAAUUUUUAUUUUUCAUCUUAUUUUCAUUUUGUUUUUUUCAUUAUGUUCCUUAUGAAAUUCCGCACCGAUAGUAUGGCAACGGAUUUAACGUAGCUUUUACCGUUUCCGAGCUAUUAGGGGCCAAAGUGGUGCUAAAUAAAAAAAAAAAAACUUUUUUAUUUCUCGUACGAUUUCAACGGGUUUUUUUUCUUUGGAUUCCUUAAGAAAUUUUCAACUCAGAAAAUUUUUACCGAUUUGAGCUAGGACUUACGGUUUCUGAGCUACAAGGGGCUAAAAGGGCUAAAACGAACUUCUCUUUUUUGUUUGUCAAAUUUUUAUUUUUCAUCUUAUUUUGGUUUUGUUUUUUUCAUUAUGUUCCUUAUGAACUUCCGCACCGGUAGAGUCAACGGAUUUAACAUAGCUUUUACCGUUUCCGAGCUAUUAGGGGCCAAAGUGGUGCUAACUCCAAAAAUAGAACUUUUUUAUUUCUCGUCAAAUUACAACAUUUUUUUUGUUUGGAUUCCUUAACAAAUUUCCAACCCGUUUGAUUCUCUCCAAAUUUAAGCUGGGACUUACGGUUUCCCUGCUACAAGGGUCUUAAUUUCUGUGUCCAGUAUAUUACUGUGUCCAGCUAAUUACUGUAUCCAGCAAAUUACUGUGUCCAGCAAAUUACUGUGUCCAGCACAUUAUUGUGUCCACUUUAGUAGUGUGUCAAUACUUGCCCAAAUGAACACUUGUCGACAACUGCGGUCGUGUCAUGCUGCGCUCGGCGAAGCUUUUUAUUAUGUAUUAGUAUAACAGUUGGAACAAUACUGUAUGUUUGGAUUCCAAAUAUGGCAAUUCCAACUUUGGUAAAUUUCCUGAAAGUCUCAAAGACUGUUUAAAUUUUGGAAAUGUUCCUUGAAACUAAUUGUGUUUUACAAUAACAUAUAAAAAGAUAUGCACACUUGGAUUUUUAAAAAAUG
rnacentral:lncRNA from 1 species